rnacentral:miRNA from 1 species
GUUUCCUUCAAGCACUUCACAU